AACGAACGCUGGCGGCAGGCUUAACACAUGCAAGUCGAACGCCCCGCAAGGGGAGUGGCGCACGGGUGAGUAACGCGUGGAUAUCUGCCUUUUGGUUCGGAAUAACCCCGGGAAACUGGGGCUAAUACCGGAUGGUUCCUACGGGAUAAAGAUUUAUCGCCAAAAGAUGAGUCCGCGUACGAUUAGCUAGUUGGUGAGGUAAUGGCUCACCAAGGCGACGAUCGUUAGCUGGUCUGAGAGGACGAUCAGCCACACUGGGACUGAGACACGGCCCAGACUCCUACGGGAGGCAGCAGUGGGGAAUAUUGGACAAUGGGGGCAACCCUGAUCCAGCCAUGCCGCGUGAGUGAUGAAGGCCUUCGGGUUGUAAAGCUCUUUUGGCGGGGACGAUGAUGACGGUACCCGAAGAAUAAGCCCCGGCUAACUUCGUG
rnacentral:rRNA from 1 species